rnacentral:rRNA from 1 species
CAAAAACAUGUCCUCGAGGUCUGGCCUGCGGCCGCGGCCGUGCAAAGGUAGCAUAAUCAUUAGUCUUUUAAAAGAGGGCUGGAAUGAAAGGUUUGACGAGGUACUAACUGUCUCAUUUUAUUUGAGAAUUUAACUUUUUAGUCAAAAGGCUAAAAUUUAGUUGGAAGACGAGAAGACCCUAUAGAGCUUUAUAUAUAUUUUGUUGGGGUGACAAAAAUAUUUUUUAUUUAUUUAACAUUGAUUUAUGAAUAUUAGAUCCACUAUUAGUGAUUAUUAGAUUAAGUUACCUUAGGGAUAACAGCGUAAUCCCCCCCCCAAAAAAAUAAUUAUUUUGCACCGCCAUGU